rnacentral:lncRNA from 1 species
AGAAAACUUAAUAAUAACAUCGAAAUUUCUUGAAUCCAACCUCUGUUCCAAGUUUCUCAUUACAUGAGAUGACAGCUGCAACUCACCCUGUUAACAGUGAACCUGCGUUAUUGUCUGGGCCUGAAAUACUCAGUAAUAAGUUUACUGGCAUAUGAAAUAAAACUCUGAGAGAGAUGAUUGCAAUAUUAGAAGGGUAACUGGCCCGGUCUUGUUCUCACUGAAGGUAGUGGGAACCAAAUCAGAUAGUUCGAUGAGAAUAAAAACUCAUUGCUUCUGCCUUUAGAAAACUGUACUGUUGGACUAAGCCAUAUUCUGGAGGGCUGUUCUUUAUUGUUUUUUGAAAACAUGUUGCACUUGAUGAAGUAAUGGGCAUUUAUUUUUAGAAAAAAAUCUUCAAGAACUUGUAGGUAUUUGUUUGUAGAGUUUGAGGUAAAACGUUUGAUCGUGAAACUCAAAUAUCAACAGCAGAUUAGCUAAAUCAAAUGUCAAAGCAGCAGAAAAGACAAUAAUGACAAGGACUUUAUGAUUUGGAGGAGUAAGAGGAAAAGACAUUCUUUAAAAUGUUGAUUUUUGGACCAAGUUGGCAUAAGAAACCAGAUGAUGUCCUUUUCAUCAGAGGGACAAUAUUUUGAUGGUGUUCUAUAAUAAGGACAUACAUUCCUAUUGUGAUUCAAAGAUGUUAAAAUUAUUUUGAACUGCUCGUCUUCCAGGUUUCUUUUUUACCAUUUUUCCUCCCAGCAGUUUACCAGUAGCAUAUAUUUAUUCAAGAAACUAGCCAAUAAGGUGCAAUGGUACCAGAGAAGGCUGUCCUGUUCUCCAAUGAAGUGUUAUGCUUAUGCAGUUUAACUUCUUCAGAAGAAUCUUACGUACAAACCGAUCAGUCAUCUCUUCUGGGUAACGCUGAAUUUUUGCAGAUACAGCUCUUAAAAUGAGUGGUGUUCAAAGCUAUCACAGAAUGUUUCAAUCUCAAGCCCUCGGAUGUUAAUUGGAAGAAGAAAGCAAGCUAUUUGCACUACUGUAAUAAGCUGCGGCGAUUUUGUUAUGUUAGACGGGAGUGUUAAUGAUGAGCCACAAAUGCAAGUUUUUACAAAGCCUCUGAGAAUUAAGCACUACGUCCUAUAUUCCUCUUCCUUGCUGUUCCAGUGAAAAGCAUACGUGUGGAAGAACAAAUGAAAAUGUUGUCAUGGUGAUCAGAGCAGUUACCGAG